rnacentral:rRNA from 1 species
GGUUAAGUUAAUAAGGGCGCACGGUGGAUGCCUUGGCACUAGAAGCCGAUGAGGGACGUGACUAACAACGAAAUGCUUUGGGGAGCUGUAAGUGAGCAAUGAUCCAGAGAUGUCCGAAUGGGGGAACCCGGCAGGUAAUGCCUGUCACUCAUUACUGUUAAGGUAAUGUAGAGGAAGACGCAGUGAACUGAAACAUCUAAGUAGCUGCAGGAAGAGAAAGCAAAAGCGAUUGCCUUAGUAGCGGCGAGCGAAACGGCAAGAGGGCAAACCGAAGAGUUUACUCUUCGGGGUUGUAGGACUGCAACGUGGACUUAAAGAUUAUAGAAGAACUACCUGGGAAGGUAGGCCAAAGGGAGUAAUAGCCUCGUAUUCGAAAUAGUCUUUAUACCUAGCAGUAUCCUGAGUACGGCGAGACACGAGAAAUCUCGUCGGAAUCUGGGAGGACCAUCUCCCAACCCUAAAUACUCUCUAGUGACCGAUAGUGAACCAGUACCGUGAGGGAAAGGUGAAAAGCACCCCGGGAGGGGAGUGAAAUAGAACCUGAAACCGUGUGCCUACAACAAGUUCAAGCCCGUUAAUGGGUGAGAGCGUGCCUUUUGUAGAAUGAACCGGCGAGUUACGAUAUGAUGCGAGGUUAAGUUGAAGAAACGGAGCCGUAGGGAAACCGAGUCUUAAUAGGGCGCAUUAGUAUCAUGUCGUAGACCCGAAACCAUGUGACCUACCCAUGAGCAGGUUGAAGGUGAGGUAAAACUCACUGGAGGACCGAACCAGGGCACGUUGAAAAGUGCUUGGAUGACUUGUGGGUAGCGGAGAAAUUCCAAACGAACUUGGAGAUAGCUGGUUCUCUCCGAAAUAGCUUUAGGGCUAGCGUCGAUGUUAAGUCUCUUGGAGGUAGAGCACUGUUUGGGUGAGGGGUCCAUCCCGGAUUACCAAUCUCAGAUAAACUCCGAAUGCCAAUGAGAUAUAAUCGGCAGUCAGACUGCGAGUGCUAAGAUCCGUAGUCGAAAGGGAAACAGCCAGACCACCAGCUAAGGUCCCAAAAUAUAUGUUAAGUGGAAAAGGAUGUGGGGUUGCACAGACAACUAGGAUGUUAGCUUAGAAGCAGCUAUUCAUUCAAAGAGUGCGUAAUAGCUCACUAGUCGAGUGACCCUGCGCCGAAAAUGUACCGGGGCUAAAACAUAUUACCGAAGCUGUGGAUACCUUUAUAGGUAUGGUAGGAGAGCGUUCUAUGUGCGAAGAAGGUGUACCGUGAGGAGUGCUGGAGCGCAUAGAAGUGAGAAUGCCGGUAUGAGUAGCGAAAGACAGGUGAGAAUCCUGUCCACCGUAAGACUAAGGUUUCCAGGGGAAGGCUCGUCCGCCCUGGGUAGUCGGGACCUAAGGAGAGACCGAAGGUGUAUCCGAUGGACAACAGGUUGAUAUUCCUGUACUAGAGUAUAUAGUGAUGGAGGGACGCAGUAGGCUAACUAAACCAGACGAUUGGAAGUGUCUGGCCAAGCAGUGAGGUGUGAUAUGAGUCAAAUGCUUAUAUCUCUAACAUUGAGCUGUGAUGGGGAGCGAAGUUUAGUAGCGAAGUUAGUGAUGUCACACUGCCGAGAAAAGCUUCUAGCGUUAAUUAUACUCUACCCGUACCGCAAACCGACACAGGUAGUCGAGGCGAGUAGCCUCAGGUGAGCGAGAGAACUCUCGUUAAGGAACUCGGCAAAAUGGCCCCGUAACUUCGGGAGAAGGGGCGCUGACUGAUGGUCAGCCGCAGUGAAUAGGCCCAAGCAACUGUUUAUCAAAAACACAGCUCUCUGCUAAGUCGUAAGAUGAUGUAUAGGGGGUGACGCCUGCCCGGUGCUGGAAGGUUAAGAGGAGUGCUUAGCGUAAGCGAAGGUAUGAAUUGAAGCCCCAGUAAACGGCGGCCGUAACUAUAACGGUCCUAAGGUAGCGAAAUUCCUUGUCGGGUAAGUUCCGACCCGCACGAAAGGCGUAAUGAUUUGGGCACUGUCUCAACGAGAGACUCGGUGAAAUUUUAGUACCUGUGAAGAUGCAGGUUACCCGCGACAGGACGGAAAGACCCCAUGGAGCUUUACUGCAGUUUGAUAUUGAGUAUCUGUACCACAUGUACAGGAUAGGUAGGAGCCUAUGACCUCGGGACGCCAGUUUCGAGUGAGGCGUUGUUGGGAUACUACCCUUGUGUUAUGGCUACUCUAACCCAGAUAGGUUAUCCCUAUCGGAGACAGUGUCUGACGGGCAGUUUGACUGGGGCGGUCGCCUCCUAAAAGGUAACGGAGGCGCCCAAAGGUUCCCUCAGAAUGGUUGGAAAUCAUUCGCAGAGUGUAAAGGUAUAAGGGAGCUUGACUGCGAGAGCUACAACUCGAGCAGGGACGAAAGUCGGGCUUAGUGAUCCGGUGGUUCCGUAUGGAAGGGCCAUCGCUCAACGGAUAAAAGCUACCCUGGGGAUAACAGGCUUAUCUCCCCCAAGAGUUCACAUCGACGGGGAGGUUUGGCACCUCGAUGUCGGCUCGUCGCAUCCUGGGGCUGUAGUCGGUCCCAAGGGUUGGGCUGUUCGCCCAUUAAAGCGGCACGCGAGCUGGGUUCAGAACGUCGUGAGACAGUUCGGUCCCUAUCCGUCGCGGGCGUAGGAAAUUUGAGAGGAUCUGCUCCUAGUACGAGAGGACCAGAGUGGACUUACCGCUGGUGUACCAGUUGUUCUGCCUAGAGCAUCGCUGGGUAGCUAUGUAGGGAAGGGAUAAACGCUGAAAGCAUCUAAGUGUGAAGCCCACCUCAAGAUGAGAUUUCCCAUGAUUUUAUAUCAGUAAGAGCCCUGAGAGAUGAUCAGGUUGAUAGGUUAGAAGUGGAAGUGUGGUGACACAUGUAGCGGACUAAUACUAAUAGCUCGAGGACUUAUCCAA